ensembl:snRNA U6 U6 spliceosomal RNA
GUGCUCACUUUGGCAGCACAUAUACUAAAAUUAAAAUGAUACAGAGAUUAGCAUGGUCCCUUUGCAAGGACAACAUGAAAAUUAGUGAAGCAUACCAUAUUUUU